UGGGGAAUUUUGGACAAUGGGCGAAAGCCUGAUCCAGCAAUGCCGCGUGUGUGAAGAAGGCCUUCGGGUUGUAAAGCACUUUUGUCCGGAAAGAAAUCCUUGGCUCUAAUACAGUCGAGGGAUGACGGUACCGGAAGAAUAAGCACCGGCUAACUACGUGCCAGCAGCCGCGGUAAUACGUAGGGUGCAAGCGUUAAUCGGAAUUACUGGGCGUAAAGCGUGCGCAGGCGGUUUGCUAAGACCGAUGUGAAAUCCCCGGGCUCAACCUGGGAACUGCAUUGGUGACUGGCAGGCUAGAGUAUGGCAGAGGGGGGUAGAAUUCCACGUGUAGCAGUGAAAUGCGUAGAGAUGUGGAGGAAUACCGAUGGCGAAAGGCAGCCCCCUGGGGCCAAAUACUGACGCUCAUGCACGAAAAGCGUGGGGGAGCAAACAGGAUUAGAUACCCUGGUAGUCCAGCGCCCUAAAACGAUGUCAACUAGUUGUUGGGGGAUUCAUUUCCUUAGUAACGUAGCUAACGCGUGAAGUUGACCGCCUGGGGAGUACGGUCGCAAGAUUAAAACUCAAAUGAAUUGACGGGGUCAUA
rnacentral:rRNA from 1 species